UACGUAGGUGGCGAGCGUUAUCCGGAAUUACUGGGCGUAAAGCGCACGCAGGUGGCUACUUAAGUCUGACGUGAAAGCUCCCGGCUUAACUGGGAGAGGUCGUUGGAGACUGGGCAGCUUGAGGCAAUGAGAGGGGUGUAGAAUUCCCGGUGUAGUGGUGGAAUGCGUAGAUAUCGGGAGGAAUACCAGUGGCGAAGGCGACACCCUGGCAUUGGCCUGACACUCAUGUGCGAAAGCGUGGGGAG
rnacentral:rRNA from 1 species